UCCUACUCAAAGCAGCAGUGGAUUCCUGCAU
rnacentral:piRNA from 1 species